GAUCAUGGCUCAGGAUGAACGCUAGCUACAGGCUUAACACAUGCAAGUCGAGGGGCAGCAUGACCUAGCAAUAGGUUGAUGGCGACCGGCGCACGGGUGAGUAACACGUNUCCAACCUACCGGUUAUUCCGGGAUAGCCUUUCGAAGAAAGAUUAAUACCGGAUAGUAUAACGAGAAGGCAUCUUCUUGUUAUUAAAGAAAUUUCGUAUAACCGAUGGGGAGUGCGUUCCAUUAGUUUGUUGGCGGGGUAACGGGCCC
rnacentral:rRNA from 1 species